rnacentral:rRNA from 1 species
AACCGAAUAGGGGAGCCGAAGGGAAACCGAGUCUUAACUGGGCGUUAAGUUGCAGGGUAUAGACCCGAAACCCGGUGAUCUAGCCAUGGGCAGGUUGAAGGUUGGGUAACACUAACUGGAGGACCGAACCGACUAAUGUUGAAAAAUUAGCGGAUGACUUGUGGCUGGGGGUGAAAGGCCAAUCAAACCGGGAGAUAGCUGGUUCUCCCCGAAAGCUAUUUAGGUAGCGCCUCGUGAAUUCAUCUCCGGGGGUAGAGCACUGUUUCGGCAAGGGGGUCAUCCCGACUUACCAACCCGAUGCAAACUGCGAAUACCGGAGAAUGUUAUCACGGGAGACACACGGCGGGUGCUAACGUCCGUCGUGAAGAGGGAAACAACCCAGACCGCCAGCUAAGGUCCCAAAGUCAUGGUUAAGUGGGAAACGAUGUGGGAAGGCCCAGACAGCCAGGAUGUUGGCUUAGAAGCAGCCAUCAUUUAAAGAAAGCGUAAUAGCUCACUGGUCGAGUCGGCCUGCGCGGAAGAUGUAACGGGGCUAAACCAUGCACCGAAGCUGCGGCAGCGACGCUUAUGCGUUGUUGGGUAGGGGAGCGUUCUGUAAGCCUGUGAAGGUGUACUGUGAGGUAUGCUGGAGGUAUCAGAAGUGCGAAUGCUGACAUAAGUAACGAUAAAGCGGGUGAAAAGCCCGCUCGCCGGAAGACCAAGGGUUCCUGUCCAACGUUAAUCGGGGCAGGGUGAGUCGACCCCUAAGGCGAGGCCGAAAGGCGUAGUCGAUGGGAAACAGGUUAAUAUUCCUGUACUUGGUGUUACUGCGAAGGGGGGACGGAGAAGGCUAUGUUGGCCGGGCGACGGUUGUCCCGGUUUAAGCGUGUAGGCUGGUUUUCCAGGCAAAUCCGGAAA